rnacentral:rRNA from 1 species
GAUGAACGCUGGCGGCGUGCCUAAUACAUGCAAGUCGAGCGAAUGGAUUAAGAGCUUGCUCUUAUGAAGUUAGCGGCGGACGGGUGAGUAACACGUGGGUAACCUGCCCAUAAGACUGGGAUUACUCCGGGAAACCGGGGCUAAUACCGGAUAACAUUUUGAACCGCAUGGUUCGAAAUUGAAAGGCGGCUUCGGCUGUCACUUAUGGAUGGACCCGCGUCGCAUUAGCUAGUUGGUGAGGUAACGGCGCACCAAGGCAACGAUGCGUGGCCGACCUGAAAGGGUGAUCGGCCACACUGGGACUGAGACACGGCCCAGACUCCUACGGGAGGCAGCAGUAGGGAAUCUUCCGCAAUGGACGAAAGUCUGACGGAGCAACGCCGCGUGAGUGAUGAAGGCUUUCGGGUCGUAAAACUCUGUUGUUAGGGAAGAACAAGUGCUAGUUGAAUAAGCUGGCACCUUGACGGUACCUAACCAGAAAGCCACGGCUAACUACGUGCCAGCCGCCGCCGUAA